rnacentral:piRNA from 1 species
UUUAUAUUGUUCCAAAGCUGUAGC